CAAGAAGGAAAUCUUGUAGAGGAAAGCUUUCUGAGAAACCUCCUCCCAUCUUUCUCCUCUCCUUUGUCUUUGUGUGCAACUUCCUCCACUCUAGUCUGAGCUCAGGGCUCAGGCCAGGCUGCUUCCUGUUGGCAGGUUGCUGGGGUGUAGACUGUCAGACAGCAAAUAAAAAGAGCUAUGAAAUCAUAACCAUUCUCUAAAGAGUUAACUCUUCUGUGUGAGACUAACACAGAGGGUAGAAUGGAUGUGAUUAAAAAUUUUUGUCAAAUCCACCUAGGCUGUGACAGAAUUCUUGAAUGUUACCAUGUUACCUACCAUGCCUCAGGCAUUGAGCUAAACGACCAGGCUACAAAGAUGCACAGAGAUGCCUUACCUUGAAGAGUUCAAGACCUGGGGUACAGAAUGGCCAGGGGCACAAGACAGCUCAUGGAGGAGGAACGAAAAGUCCGGCACCGUGAGAUGAGUAUUCAAACGCAAGCUGAGCAGAGAAGAUCCAGAUAAAUGCAGCCCUUCAUUCAAGGCUACACUUUCUGAUGGCUAUUACAUUUGAACUCCAAGAGAGAAAAGUCUUCAUUUCCUUGAGCAAUAUCCUAAUCUCAUUAAAGAAACAC
rnacentral:lncRNA from 1 species